GACGAACGCUGGCGGCGUGCUUAACACAUGCAAGUCGAACGGAAAGGCCUGCUUUCCCUUGUGGAUUGCGGGUACUCGAGUGGCGAACGGGUGAGUAACACGUGAGUGAUCUGCCCCCAACUUGGGUAUAAGCCUGGGAAACUGGGUCUAAUUCCCGAUAGGACUGCAGGGUGGUGCCUGUGGUGGAAAACGAUUUUCUAGUGGUUGGGGAUGAGCUCGCGGCCUAUCAGCUUGUUGGUGGGGUAAUGGCCUACCAAGGCGGCGACGGGUAGCCGGCCUGAGAGGGUGGACGGUCACAUUGGGACUGAGAUACGGCCCAGACGCCUACGGGAGGCAGCAGUGGGGAAUAUUGCACCAUGGGCGGAAGCCUGAUGCAGCGACGCCGCGUGGGGGAUGACGGCCUUCGGGUGGUAAACUCCUUUCGACCGCGAGGAAGCCACCUGGAUGGAAGGGUGGUGACGGUAGUGGUAGAAGAAGCACCGGCUAACUACGUG
rnacentral:rRNA from 1 species